UUUAGCGCGGGCGAACUGCA
rnacentral:misc_RNA from 1 species